rnacentral:tRNA from 1 species
GUCGGGAUGGUCUGAACGUUUAAGGCGUCGCCCCGGACAGGCGAAGGUUGCGGGUUCAAUCCCCGCUCCUGGCC